GACGAACGCUGGCGGCGUGCUUAACACAUGCAAGUCGAACGGAAAGGCCCUGCUUUUGUGGGGUGCUCGAGUGGCGAACGGGUGAGUAACACGUGAGUAACCUGCCCUUGACUUUGGGAUAACUUCAGGAAACUGGGGCUAAUACCGGAUAGGAGCUCCUGCUGCAUGGUGGGGGUUGGAAAGUUUCGGCGGUUGGGGAUGGACUCGCGGCUUAUCAGCUUGUUGGUGGGGUAGUGGCUUACCAAGGCUUUGACGGGUAGCCGGCCUGAGAGGGUGACCGGCCACAAUGGGACUGAGAUAGGGCCCAGACUCCUACGGGAGGCAGCAGGGGGGAAUAUUGCACAAUGGGCGGAAGCCUGAUGCAGCAACGCCGCGUGCGGGAUGACGGCCUUCGGGUUGUAAACCGCUUUCGCCUGUGACGAAGCGUGAGUGACGGUAAUGGGUAAAGAAGCACCGGCUAACUACGUG
rnacentral:rRNA from 1 species